ensembl:snRNA U6 U6 spliceosomal RNA
AUGCUCGCCUCCGCAGCACAUAUACUAAACUUGGAACGAUACAGAGAAGAUUAGCAUGGCCCCU